AAGGAGGUCCCGUACGGUCGAAUUGCAGAGUUACUUGAUGGUGACAAAUCAUGGUUAGUACGAGUAAGGACGAGAGAUGAUCAUUGUAUAUUUAAGGAUGGAUGGACAAAGUUUGUUAGAGAUUGUUGUUUGAAAACGAAAGAUGCUGUAUUGGUGAAAGCUAUUGGACGUUUGUCAUUCGUUGUCUCAUGUUUUAAAGAAAAUGUCUACGAGAACUCUUACAUUUCAGCAAAUAUUAGACCUGAAUUUGGCAUGACUACAAAUUUUGGAAACAAUUCUACGGUAAAAAUUACGACUAUGGGAUGGCAACUAUCUAUGUUGGCGAAAGGUUUUGGAAUGUAAUGAUGAAAGGAUGGACUGAUGGAUGCGGAUUUACUGAUGGAUGGUUAAAAUUCAUUGAAGAAGUUCCCAUACCAGUUGAAUCUUGGUUGGUUUUCACCAUGAUUGCAUCUAAAACGUUUGAGGGCUUUCCGUUUUCCAUUCCGAGACUAGAACUGAGGUUUUCUUCAAGAAAGCUGAUGUAGUUGUUUUGGAUGAUUCAGUUUAUGGAGAUGAUGGGUUUGAUUUAUUGGCUGCGGCUAAACACAAACAGGUUCUGGAUUCCGGGGAAGUUGCUUUAGAUGAUGAAGAUACUGGAGCUUCGCCUGAAGAUCAUUCUGUAAGAAUAGCUGAUGAUGUUAACAAUCCUCAACUAUAGUCUAAAGAUUUUCCUGUUCGUGACAUUUCUGCCUCUUCGAGUCUUGUAUCAAAUGUGGAAAAGAUGCACAAACUUCGUGGCAAGACAAUUGUAGAGGAUAAUGAAGCUGUUGAUAGACCGUGUAAAGUUCGAAAGGUUCGUUUAGUAUCAUCCACUUCAGAAUCAGUCUUACACUUCACCACACAUGCUGAAGACAGACUUGUAAUGUGACAACCCUCACAAUUCCAGGAAAUUAGUGGAUCUGGCAAGGUAUGCAUUCACGUCAAGC